CCUACGGGGUGCAGCAGUGGGGAAUAUUGGACAAUGGGGGCAACCCUGAUCCAGCCAUGCCGCGUGUGUGAAGAAGGCCCUCGGGUUGUAAAGCACUUUCAGUGAGGAAGAACGCCUGGUGGUUAAUACCCAUCAGGAAAGACAUCACUCACAGAAGAAGCACCGGCUAACUCCGUGCCAGCAGCCGCGGUAAUACGGAGGGUGCGAGCGUUAAUCGGAAUUACUGGGCGUAAAGCGCGCGUAGGUGGCUUGAUAAGCCGGUUGUGAAAGCCCCGGGCUCAACCUGGGAACGGCAUCCGGAACUGUCAAGCUAGAGUGCAGGAGAGGAAGGUAGAAUUCCCGGUGUAGCGGUGAAAUGCGUAGAGAUCGGGAGGAAUACCAGUGGCGAAGGCGGCCUUCUGGACUGACACUGACACUGAGGUGCGAAAGCGUGGGUAGCAAACAGGAUUAGAUACCCGGGUAGUC
rnacentral:rRNA from 1 species